rnacentral:lncRNA from 1 species
GUAAAUGUCUUCUUCCACCAUUUCAAAUAUCUUAAAUCGAUUCAGUUUUAGGUAGAUAUCAUUACCUCUUUUGAACCUUACUUUUAUCACUAGUUCAAUCCAACUGCACCUCAUUCCUUCAUGGUAUGCCUCGUUAGUUUGUGUUGUAGAAUUGCUCUGUCUCUUCCACCAGCGCUCAGCAUCGGUAACACGGAAGUCAUCACUUUAUCAUGAAGUCACAUAUGCAUCUUCAGUACUUGCUUCUACUCCUUAUGCUCCCACUUUGCAGCUCCACUGACACCAUAACUCCCAACCAACCCUUAAGAGAUGGUGACCUUCUAGUCUCUAAACAGUCCAGGUUCGCUCUUGGCUUCUUCAGUCCACGGAAUUCUACACUCCGAUAUAUUGGAGUUUGGUACAACACAAUUCGUGAACAAACCGUUGUAUGGGUUCUUAACAGAGACCAUCCUAUCAACGAUAGCUCCGGAGUCCUCUCCAUCAACACUUCUGGAAACCUCCUUCUGCACCGCGGAAACACUCAUGUAUGGUCCACAAACGUUUCCAUCUCAUCAGCGAACGCUACUGUGGCUCAGCUGUUAGAUACCGGAAACCUAGUCUUGAUCCAAAACGAUGGCAACAGGGUGGUGUGGCAAGGCUUUGAUUAUCCCACAGAUAGUUUGAUUCCCUACAUGAAACUCGGACUGGAUCGGAGAACCGGUUUCAACAGGUUCCUAACUUCUUGGAAGUCCCCAACCGACCCAGGAACGGGGAAAAACUCGCUUACGAUUAACGCCAGUGGGUCUCCUCAAUUUUUUCUGUACCAGGGUUCAAAGCCGCUAUGGAGAUCCGGUAACUGGAACGGGUUCCGGUGGAGCGGUGUGCCGACGAUGAUGCACGGAACCAUAGUCAAUGUUAGCUUUCUGAACAAUCAAGAUGAAAUCUCUUAUAUGUAUUCCCUGAUCAACGUGUGGCUUCCCACGACGUUGACGAUCGACGUCGACGGAUAUAUCCAGCGGAACUCGUGGCUGGAAACAGAAGGCAAAUGGAUCAACUCCUGGACAGUCCCAACUGACAGGUGCGACAGGUACGGCAGGUGCGGAGUGAACGGCAACUGCGACAACAGCCGCGCCGAGUUUGAGUGCACGUGCCUGGCGGGGUUCGAGCCCAAGUCGCCACGUGACUGGUCCUUGAAAGACGGCUCAGCGGGAUGCCUGAGGAAAGAAGGAGCGAAGGUGUGCGGGAACGGGGAAGGGUUUGUGAAGGUGGAAGGUGCGAAGCCCCCAGAUACAUCGGUGGCACGUGUGAACACGAACAUGAGCUUGGAAGCGUGUAGAGAGGGGUGCCUGAAGGAGUGUUCUUGCAGUGGAUACGCGGCUGCAAAUGUGAGUGGAAGUGGGAGUGGGUGCUUGUCUUGGCAUGGGGACUUGGUGGAUACAAGAGUGUUUCCUGAAGGGGGCCAAGAUUUAUAUGUGCGUGUGGAUGCCAUCACUCUAGGUAUGCUAGCAUUUAAUUGUCAGGAUUCAUGAAUGAUUUAUCUCCCAGAUUUAUGAGAUCAUUUAUGAUGUGUUUUUUCUCGUGUAUUUUUUUAGCUGAAAAUCAAAAGCAGUCAAAAGGUUUCCUUGCGAAGAAGGGGAUGAUGGCAGUUUUGGUGGUGGGGGCUACUGUGAUUAUGGUUCUGUUGGUCUCCACAUUUUGGUUCUUAAGGAAGAAGAUGAAAGGUAAUCAAACAAAAAUUCUUAUGGUUCAUUUAAGCCUUCUAUCCAAUGUUUGUGUCUUGGGCAUGGAUUAACAUGAAGAGAUUAAUAUGAAAAGCCAAACAUUUCUAAGCUUAGUUACCUAGUGAAUUAAUCCCGGGUUGAGUCUUUUUUCCUUGCUUUCAUGGUAUUAAGGAAUUGUAUUAUUUCUAAAAAAAAUUUCCCAUUUAUUUUCCCCCACAAUCAAAAAAGCAUUAUUUAUUGUUAUACUUUCAUGGCAGGGAGAGGAAGACAAAACAAAAUGUUGUAUAAUUCGAGACUUGGUGCUACAUGGCUGCAAGACUCUCCAGGAGCUAAGGAGCAUGAUGAAAGUACAACCAAUUCUGAAUUACAAUUCUUUGAUCUGAACACCAUAGCUGCAGCCACAAAUAAUUUCUCUUCUGAGAACGAACUUGGACGUGGUGGUUUUGGCUCAGUUUAUAAGGUAGUCAGUCAUUCUCAAAUCUGUGAUGACUACUGAAACUGUUGGACUUUCUUUCAUUGCACAAACAUUACGGUAAUCUGAAUUUUCCAAACUGUGAAUAAGCUAAUUCUACAUGAUGAUUAUCAGGGUCAACUAUCUAAUGGACAAGAAAUAGCUGUGAAAAAAUUAUCAAAGGAUUCAGGACAAGGAAAAGAAGAAUUUAAGAAUGAAGCAACACUUAUUGCAAAACUCCAACACGUGAAUCUUGUGAGGCUUUUGGGUUGUUGCAUUACAGAAGAAGAGAAGAUGUUAGUCUAUGAGUACUUGCCAAACAAAAGUUUAGACUCUUUCAUUUUCGGUAUGUACCAUUUUUUUUCUGCCAUUUCCAUUUCUUUAAUCUUCUAAGGUUCUUGCAUAAUCACUUAGAGAAGUUAUUUGCCUAAUAAAAAUCAUUAUUAGUAUAUCCUAAUAUUGUUUUACUAAUUGAUAUUUUAUAUAUCUUUGGGCCAGAUGAAACAAAGAAGUCAUUGUUAGAUUGGAGGAAACGCUUUGAAAUUAUUGUCGGAAUUGCUCGAGGAAUCUUAUAUCUUCAUGAGGACUCUAGAUUAAGAAUCAUACACAGAGAUCUAAAAGCAAGCAAUGUUCUACUCGAUGCCGAAAUGUUUCCAAAAAUUUCAGAUUUUGGCUUGGCUAGAAUAUUUCGAGGAAAUCAAAUGGAAGGAAACACAAAUCGAGUAGUUGGAACAUAGUAAGUGUUAUGUUUGAGAUACCAAAGAAACGUAUUAGUUAAUAUGUUUUAAUAGUUUCGUUUAUUUGCUAUUACAGUGGUUACAUGUCACCUGAGUAUGCGAUGGAAGGGUUAUUUUCAACAAAAUCCGACGUCUAUAGCUUCGGAGUUUUGUUGUUAGAGAUUAUUACUGGGAGAAAAAAUAGCACUUACUAUCAAGACAAUCCAUCCAUGAGCUUAAUUGGAAAUGUGAGUGAGUUGAAUGUGUGUUGCAUUUCCUUUUUCUUUUCAUUCUUUACAAUAAGCUAAUAAUGUUAAAAUUCUCAGGUUUGGAACCUAUGGGAAGAAGACAAAGCCUUGGAUUUAAUCGAUCCGUCACUAGAAAAGUCAUACCCUGCAGAUGAAGUAUUGAGAUGCAUCCAAAUUGGGCUCUUAUGUGUCCAAGAAUCUAUAACGGAUCGACCUACCAUGCUGACUAUAAUUUUCAUGUUGGGUAACAACUCUGCUCUUUCUUUUCCUAAACGGCCUGCAUUUAUUUCAAAAACAACUCACAAGGGUGAAGAUCUAUCAUGCUCUGGUGAGGGACUUUUAUCUGUAAAUAAUGUGACCAUGACUGUGCUUCAACCUCGCUAAAUGCUUACACUCUCACAUGUUGUAUGUUUAUCCUCCAUGACAAUGAACACUACAAGAAAAAAGCCUUUCAUUGACUGUUUUUCACCAUCAUGGUAUGGUAUAUCUGUCAAGGUAUGUUACUAUUUAUAUAUGUCAUCUAUGCUAGUGUCAAGAAAAGUUUAAAGCUGUCUUGACAUUUACAUAUGUUAAGGUUGUUUCUAUUUCUACCAAUGAUGGAAUCUUUGUUAGUAUGACAUAUGUCAAUUUUCUUUCACUUUUGUCGAGGUUGGAUUCAACAUAUGUCAAGAUUUCUUAAUCUUAUGUCAAGGUUAACUUGCUCUUCUGUUAAGGUUGCUACAACAAAUGUCAAGGAUAAGUAUAAUAUGUCAAGGUUUCUAGCUAUUGCAAUGUCAAUGUUGGGCAUUGGCCAUCUGUCAAGGUUGCUUAUUUCAAAUUUAAUAUUAUUUUACUAUAAUUUUUAGUUUUAAUGGAAAAUGAACCUAUUACCAUAUGAAACUUGUUUCCAAAUUAAAUUUGAUACAUAUUUAAUUAUGAUAAUAAUAACUAAGUCCUAAAACAAUGUAAAUAAACCAUUACUCAAGGGGAAAAAUCUUUUUUCUACUUACUCUCUAUUUUCUAUAUACAAAAAAAAAAAAAAAAAAAACUAAUUGCAAACAUUCAAUUAAGAUAAUAUACAAACUUAAAUUGAAAAGUACAAUACUAUCUUCAUAAGAGGUGGUCACUAAUUCUUCAUCAUCUUCUUCUUUUUGCUAUAUUUCUUGAAUACCUAGUAGGAUAGACACAACAUUAAUAGAAAAGUAAGCAACAAGUAUAAAAAUAGCAUUUUUCAAAUUAUAAGGUACUUUCAAUUGCAAGAAUACAUUAAACAUACAUGCAAUUUGUAGAUACCAUAUAUCUAGCAUUAAUCUUCAAGCCCGACCCUCUAGAAAGACCCCAAAAUUGUCAACACCUCUAUCUCAAACCUAUGAUAGAAAAAAAAACGAUGUUAACAAAAAGAAAAGCUCAAAUUGUGAAAUUAGAUGUCUAACUACAAUGAAAUAUUUUUAAGAUUGAAUUCUAAGUUUAAUUAUUGUGUUUUUAUAUUAUGGACUUAAAUAACUAUAAUAGUAUACUUCUUUUUAAUUUCUAAAAGGAAUGCAAAAAGGAAAAGAGAAAACAAAAGUUUCAAAUAUAUCUUUCAUGUUAUUUUGGCUUCUAAAUAGAUAAAAACUCACAUUAUCCAAGAAAUUGUUAAAAUUAAAAUUGAGCAUAAAUUUUAAUCAUCUCAAUCAUAAAUAAUGAAAUAUCUAAAUUCAAAUUCAUAGAAACCACACUAACUAUUAAUUUCAUGCACCAAAUGCAUCUAAUCUUAACAAAAUAAAAAAUCAAGGAUAUUCUCCUUCAAUUCUAAUAGGAUAAUAGAUCUUAUGUGUGCAAAUUUUGUCUUUAUUUCAAGAAUUAAUAAAUGCACAAGCUAUCUAGUUGAGAGCUUAAAUCUGUAAAUUUUUAAAAGAAAUAAAUUAAUUAAAUAAACAAAAAAGGUCUAAGAAAUGGAAAAUCUCCAAAAUUAAAGAGAAAAUCAAGCACAUUUCAUAAAUGGGAAAGAGUUAUGCAAUAUGCUGCUAUUCUUUUCUAACUAAUGUGAAAUUGAAAACAAAUUUGACACAAAGUUGUGUGAGAAUACAUCUAUAAGGUUCAUAGAAAUAAUGUGUAGAUUGCCAUUUAAAGCUAUGUAAACUAAGAAUGACAAAUAGCAAAUUAUAUUAUUUAUAUCUAUCAUACCUUGUUAAAAUACCAUGUCAAAUAUUCCAUAGAUAGACAACUACGCAUGAGUAUGAAAAUGUUGUCUAGAUGUUUUUCUCAUAGGCAGCUAAUGCAUGAGUUCAUUGAAUUCAAAACUUAACAACAAUUAAAGCUGACAAAGCACCCAAUUAUCAAUUAUUAAAGAACUCUUAAUGGGAGCAAAAACUAAAACUAAUAAAGUAACUAAUAACAAAAUAUAAGAGUUGCAUUGGUACCCAAUAUAAUGUUCUUCCUAAUGUAAUUGUGCUCAUUAAAACAAAAAACUUCACGGCAUAAAUUAAUUGAAGACCCCGUACAAGCAACAAGAAAAUACUUCAUACCAUUAUAGUGGUAAUUAAGGAUUAUAGAAACAAUUUUAGUUGGCUUGUGACUAUGAAUCGAAGAAUUAAAAUUUUGUGAGGGUUGAUUUAUUGCUUAUCAAUAAGAUAGCAUAUCAAUAUUUAACAAAAGAAAGAGUUUCAAGCAAUCAUGAAUCAUAACAUUAAAAUUUAGCCCUAAAAAGAGGGGAAAAAACAAAGAGAAAGAACCAAACCAAAGGAGCCCAACUAAAAAUUCAAGUGCAUAAAUAAGUAAAAUUAAAUAGUUAACCAUAUUAAAGAGAAAACCAUGUCCCAUUAUGCAAAUUGUUUUUGUGUGCCCAAAUAUACAGUUCUGUUUCUUCAAAUUGCAUUAAAAGUCCAAUGGUAUCUGUAAAGGAAAUAAUAGAGAUAAAAUUUAAAGGUAAUCUACUCAUAAUUAUUUCAAUUAACACAUCCAAAUAUUAUGGAUCAAUAGAGAAAUCAAUUUAAAGAAAACUAAACAUCAGCCUUUACUAGCAUAAAACGAAAACAAAAUUUUUUUUUUUAAAAAAAAAAAAUAAUUCAUUAGAUAUCAGAUUAUUUUUGGGGCAACAAAAUUGAGACACAUAAUUGCAUUAACCAUUGAUGCCUACAAACUCAAUUCGAAACAUAAAAAUGAAAUUGAACAUGAAUUUCAAGCUUCAAAAUUGCGAACCAAAAAAACACUUACAAAAUGUUAGAAAAGAAUGGGAAGAAAAUUUCUAAAAUAGGAUAUUCUAAGAUGCCUUUUUUUAGUUAUCUUUCUUAGUUUUUCUAUAAUCAAAGAGAGUAAAAAAGGAAAAGAAAAAGUGAAGAUGGAAGAGAAUUAGAUAAUAGAGUAAAAUUCACCAAUUAUCUUAAUUGCAAUAAUUUUCAAGAUUACCCUUAAGCCAUAUUUGACUCAUUUUUUUUUUCAAACUUUCCUCGCGUUUUAAAAUGAACUUCUUUACAAAUGGAAAAUCUCAUAACUUAACAUAAUAAAUGAUAUCAAAAUAGAGAAGUUUGAACAUAAGUCAAUAAUUUCUCUAUUGUGUUAUUGCUACGAAUAUAUUUUGCAUGAGUAUAUUAUUUGGAUUCAUAGAGAUAGAAAGAAACCGAACUCUGUUAUUAUGUUGAACAACAAAUUUUCCUAAAAGUUUAAGCUUAUAGGAUUUGAGAUCAAUAUGUGUUUUAUGUCUGUUAACACUCAACACAUAUUUCAAUAAAAAAUUUCAUGAACUCCUCAAACAUUUAUACUACAUACAACUUAGGGCACCAAAGAAUACGAGUAAAAGGAGUAUAUGCUAGAAGUCAUUAUUUCUAAUGUUUAGUGGAUUUAAUAUUUAUAUUAUUAAAAAUUAAUAUUUAUGUGAAUAAAAAAUAUCUCAACAUAAAAUUACAAAAUUUUAAUUAUUUCUAAAGAAAUUUAUUAAAUUUAGAAAUUUUAAAAUUUAGUUUUUAUUAUCUGAUUUACUAUUAAAUGCUUAUUAUUUUGGUUUUCUUUAUUUUUUCAAUGGUCUUUUUCCCAAAUUAUUUCAUAUAUCUAUAAUUUUGUCGAUCUUUGACACGUGGAUUAUCUUGGAAAAUGUUCUUAAUAACAAAGAAAUAUUCCUUCUUGUGAUGAGUAUGAACUAGAAUUCUCGUUUUUUAGCGAAUAGAGCUCCCCAAUUUGGUGAGGAAAUGAGAUAGUCACUCUUUUUUUUUUGUAGUUACUCGCAUUAUGUACUCAAAGUAUUUAUCCAAAUAUCCAAUACACUUACGAAACCACACUUUUUCAUUUCCAAAAUGUAACAUACGUGACUAUAGGCUUGCACACUUGAAAAGCAAUACUGACAUUUAACAUCGAAGGAUUUAAUUGUGGUCUUGUGUUUUUUUGAGGUCCUAUAAACAGGUGAAAACUUAAAAUAACAUUGACUUGACCAACUCAACAUGUGAUUACGUUGUAUACGUCAAUGUAGUCAAUAGAAUUUCUUUCCCUUGACUUGGCAUCGAGUACGCUAGUGCCAGCCUUAUCUUCCCAUGGGAACUUGAACAAUUUGAGCAAUUGGCCAUUGCCAACCACAUUUUUAAGUAAUGUCUUCUUCCACCCUUCAAAUAUCUUAAAAUCCAUUAAGUUUUAUGUAGAUAUCAUUUUCACUUUUAAACCUUACUUAUUAUCAUUAAGCUUUGUAACGUAGCCGUCACUCACAAGUUGCACCAAAAUUGAAGUUUAACUGUUGGGUAGGCGCAAUUUUGAAGUGAUCAAGCUAUGAUACAUUUAAUACCACUGCAACUUGGUCUCAUUCAUAAAUGUGGUGUGGAGAUAGUACCAUAGUUUUAAAAGGCGCAAGGCACACCUAAGGCACAAAAGUAUCCUAUAACUUAGGCACAAGGCACAACACAAAGCGCUCACAUGAGUGAAGUGAAACCUAACCUAGUAUGCAUAUCAAUUUUAUAAAAUAUGAUACAAAACUCAAUCCAAUCAAUAAAAAAUUUAAUACUUUAAAAGAAGUAUUCAACAAAAAAAUAUAUGUAAUAAAAUUAUGUAGAUUUUAAUAUACAAUUAGAAAUUUCAAGAAUAAAAGUGUUUAAAAAUGAAAAGUAAAGUAGACAAGGCACACCUCUUCAACAAGGCACAUGUCUUGGCAAGCAAUGUACUAUAGCUAGGGAGUGGUUGUGCUUUGAGCCUAACCGUGCUUUAAGCACGCCUUUUAAAACUAUGGUUUGGUGACCAUUUUAAAAAACAAUUCUGAAAAAUAGUUUUUGAGAACAGUUUUUGAAAACUAUUCUCUGAUUCUUGUAGAUUAAUAAAAGUAUAUUUGGAAACCUAAAAUGUUUUUAUCUUGUUUUAAAUAUUUUUAAAUAUGUUUUAAAAGUAUUUUUAUAUCUAGUAUUUUAUUUUUAAUCAUUUUACAUGUUUGUAUAAUUAUUUCUUAAAACAAUUAUAAAAAAAACAAGUGAAAAAGUCAGAAAAUAAUUUUUAGUUGUCAAACAAUUUUUCUAUGUUUUUUGUUCUAGAAAACAAAAAACUAUUUUCAAAACCGGUUCCCAAACAUGCCUUUAAUAUGGGGUUGAGUGUUUUUUUUUUCUUGCUUUCAAGAUAUUAAGGAUUUAUAUUCUUAAUUUUUUUUCCCAUCUAUUUUCCCCACAAUCAAAUAAGCAUUAUUUAUUGUUAUACUUCCAUGACAAGGAAAGAAAGACAAAACAAAAUGUUGUAUAAUUUGAGACUUGGUGCUACAUGGCUGCAAGACUCUCUAGGAGAUAAGGAGCAUGAAGAAAGUACAACCAAUUCUGAAUUACAAUUCUUUGAUAUGAACACCAUAGCUACAGCCACAAAUAAUUUCUCUUCUAAGAACGAACUUGGAUGUGGUGGUUUUGGCUCAGUUUAUAAGGUAGUUAGUCAUUCUCAAAUUUAUGAUGACAUUGCACAAGUAUCACGCUAAGCUGAAUUUUCCAUAAACUAAUUCUACAUGAUGAUUACCAGGGUCAACUAUCUAAUGGAAAAGAAAUAACUAUGAAAAGAUUAUCAAAGGAUUCGGGACAGGGAAAAAAAGAAUUUAAGAAUGAAGUAACACUUAUUGCUAAACUCCAACACAUAAAUCUUAUGAGGCUUUUGGGUUGUUGCAUUCAAGGAAAAGAGAAGAUGUUCAUUUAUGGGUCCUUGCCAAACAAAAGUCUCGACUUUUUCAUUUUUAGUAUGUACCAUUUCUUUUCUAUCAUUUCCAUUUCUUUAAUCUUCUAAGGUUCUUGCAUAAUCACUUGGAGAAGUUAUUUGCCUAAUAAAAAUCAUUAUUAGUAUAUCCCAACUUUGUUUUACUGAUUGACAUUUUAUAUAUCUUUGGGCUAGAUGGAAAAAAAAAAAAAAAGUCAGUGUUAGAUUGGAGAAAACGCUUUGAAAUUAUUAUGGGAAUUGCUCAAGGAAUCUUAUAUCUUUAUGAGGACUCUAGAUUAAGAGUCAUACGUACACAGAGAUCUAAAAGCAAGCAAUGUUCUACUGGAUGUUGAAAUGCUUCCAAAAUUUUCAGAUUUUGGCAUGGCUGGAAUAUUUGGAGGAAAUCAAAUGGAAGGAAACACAAAUCGAGCAGUUGGAACAUAGUAAGUGUCAUGUUUGAGAUGCCAAAGAAACAAAAUAGUUAAUAUGUUUUAAUAGUUUCUUUUAUUUUCUAUUACAGUGGUUACAUAUCACCUGAGUAUACGAUGGAAGGGUUAUUUUCAACAAAAUUUGAUGUCUAUAAUUUCGGAGUUUUGUUGUUAGAGAUUGUUACUGGAAGAAAAAAUAGCACUUAUUAUCAAGAUAGUUCAUCUGUUAACUUAGUUGGAAAUGUAAAUGAGAAUGUGUGUUGCAUUACUUUUUUCUUUUCAUUCUUUAUAGUAAGUUAAUAAUGGUAAAAUUCUUAGUUUUGGAACCUAUGGGAAGAAGACAAAGCCUUGGAUAUAAUCGAUCUGUCGCUUGAGAAGUCAUACCUUGUAGAUGAAGUAUUGAGAUGCAUCCAAAUUGGGCUCUUAUGUGUGCAAAAAUUUACAAUAGAUCAACCUACCAUGUUGACAAUUAUUUUCAUCUUUGGUAACAACUCUUCUCUUCAUUUUCCUAAACGGACUACAUUUAUGUCAAAAACAACUCAUAGGGGGGAAGACCUAUCAUCCUAUGGUGAAGGACUUUUCUCUGUAAAUGAUGUGACCAUGACUUUGCUUCAACCUCGCUAAUUGCUUACACUCUCACAUGUUGUAAGUUUAUCCUCCAAGACAAUGAAUUGUGUACACAAUAUCACAAAGAGAACACCUUUUGAUUUAGUGAUCAUAGUUAGAUAAUUAUCCAACUCUGUAAAUGUAUGUUCAAAGAUAGGGCAAGAAUGGAAGCUUGUAGGUAUAGUCAAAUAAUCAAUUAAGUAUGAUUAGCUCUCAACAUUAAGGCCCUAAAAUCAUAUAAUUAAAAUGGUUCAAAUGGAGCUAAUAGAUCAAAUAGUUCCAUAUGGGUAAUGGAAGAGCUUGGAAUGAAGCAAUGCAUUGGUUCUUAUGCUAUGCCUGAUGAUGGAAAGACUGAAUGUUCAAUUGGUAAAUCUUCAAAUCUGCAAAAUAAUUGGAGACUAUCACGAGGCAUUUCUCAUAUUUUCCUUUUUGCUAGGAUGGUCAAAUCUGCUUUCUCUUUUAAAUUCAAGGCAUACUCGUGGUUCCUAAAAUGAAUUACUAGGGCCAUUCACUUUUCCUAUCAAGCAGUGAGUGACAAUUGGAAAAUAUGCCCAUUUGAAUUUUGGAUCGUUGGUUGCCUUUACCAUAAGGCAUCUUAGUGUUGUAUUGAUUCCUGAAGUAGUCAAUAAAUGAAAAGAAGUUUUUCUAUUUUGGGCAUGGCACAUGAUAUCAAAUUUGGCAGUAUAUGGAUGUUUAGUAUAUGAGCAUCUUUAUUGCAAAUGAUUUUACAAAUCUUCAGUACAUUCUUCAUCGGAUUUCUACUUUUGAUCUAUUAAAUACUGUAGAUGGUCGAACAUGGGUGCCAACUACAAGGUAUGACUUCAGAUCCAAGACAUCUAAAAUUCAAAGUUAAGAAUUGAUUAUGUGAAAUCAAGGGGAAAAAUAUCAUUGGGAAAUGAAAACAAUUUUGAGAAAUGAUAAUUACAAAGACUUUAAAGAGUGAAAAGUUGAUUGACCUUGGGUAUAGUUGGACAAUCCAACCGAUUAUACUAUCAUCGAGUUAGGUUGGGAGAGGGAGAGCCAACAUAUUCAUAACUUUAAGAUGAAAAAUGGUUUAGUUUAAGGACCUCAGGGCAUCCCUAAUUUGGUUGGUUUUUAGUACUGACUAAUGGUAAGAUUUUCCUCUUUUUUUUCUUUACUUUUUUUCCAAUCUCAUUGACAAAUGAGUGACAAUGAGUGUUAAAAGAAUAAUUAAAGAGACAACAUUACUUCAAGGCGGGGCACAAGGGAAGAAAGACAACAAAAAGUGUUAUAAUUUGAGUUUUAUUGCUACAUGCCUCAAGAAUUAGUCCCCAAGAACAAAGGAGUGAAGUGUAAAUAGUGUAAAUUCUAAAUUAUCAAGGAAUUCAAGAUAAGGAGUAGAAGAAUUAAUAUAAGAAAACAUGAAUAUAAGGAUCCUGUGAAGUUCUUAGGUUGUUGCAUAUAAGGAGAAGAUAAAGAUGUUAGUCUAAGAAUACUUAUUGAACAAUAGUUUGAACUCUUUUAUUUUCAUCCUAUCUUUUUAUUUUAUUUUAUUUUUUUAUUUUGACAAUUUCUAAAUCUCUUCAUCUCUUUUGCUUGUGAUCUCACCGUUAUCACAUGAAAAAUUUGUUUUACAUUAAAACUAUUGUGGACCCGCAUUUUUCACGUGCGCCCCCACUCGAUCGGCGAGACUCGCUUUUUAUUUGUGAAAAAUUAAUUUUUGGAAAAAAGUUGGAGUCGCCACUUAUUUUAUUUUUAUUUUUAAAGGGAAAAUAAAACAAGAAAUAAAACCCUAAAAAAUGACUCCAUAAUUUUUGGAAAAGCGUGUCUUUGAAAAACCAAGUCUCGGUCCGAGGAUCAGGUUACCUAUUGGGAAGGUACCUCUAAGAGGUAGCACCCCUUUAAGCCCUAUAAGGGUCUCUACUAACUAAGUUGAGGGAAAUGUGACAAUUAAUUGGUUAAUUAUAAGUACCUAAGUAGGCUAGGUGAUUCAAAAAAAAAUAGCAUGCCAAACGAAAUCAAAUCACAAUAAAGGAGAGUUAGGGUACAUACCUGGACUGCCUCUCAAGCGUUAUCACAAGACAUCAAAGUUAGUAUAGAGAUAUAGCACGCAACAUGCAUCUUAUCCAAGCAAGUCAAACAUACAUCUAAGCACCCAAGGAUUAAAUCAAAACAUGGAUAUAGCUCAUGAUAGCAUGCAUUUUCAUAGAAUUUUGGAAUUAGAGGAUAGAGAACGUACUUGGAUAGCAAGUAUAUUUUAUAAGAUUCCUCGAAAAAUGCUAGAUUGGUUAGGGCAAGCAUAAAUUAUAUGAAAUAUCCAUUAUGUCUAAUAUACAGUUUCAAAGCCAAAAUUGAGCUAAGACAAAUUAAAUGACUCCAAAAAUAAUAACAAUUUCAAGUAAGGUAUAAAACCAUCAACAUGCGGUUAGAAAAUGAAGCAUCAUAAAACAAUUUCUAAAAAAAUGGCUUAGAGUGGAAUUUGAUUACAAAAAAUUUCAGGAAACAACUCCUACACACCUAGAUUAAUAUACCGAAAGCCAAACACUCAUUCAAAAGACAGAUUAUCGCAAAGGCACCUAAAGGUUCUACAAAGUCCAGAUUAGAUAAGGAAAAGUGACGUGCAUAAAUGAAUUUUUUAAAACUAAUAAAUGAUCAUAUAAAAUCAUUAAAAAGAAAUCAUACAUAUUUCAAAAUGUCUAUAUCACAUAAAAAAUAAAUUCGGGGUCGAAUAGUACUUACAAAUAUUUUUAAAACUAUAAAUCUAAUCAGAUGUACAAACUCCAGCAUGCGCAGUAGGCACAACUUUGAAAAAUCAUAUCUCCCUCAAAAAUGCAUAUUUUCUAAUAUUUUAUGUGUCUAAAAUCAAUUUCAAGAAGCUUAUAAUUGAGAAAAAAAUAUUGAAUCAAUUUUAAAAAGUCCUCUAGUAUUUUAUUUUUUCCAAAAGAUCUUGGGUGUCCAGAACUAUGUGAAAACGGAGUCCCCCUAAAGACUCAUUUAUAUCUUCUAUCUCAGAAUGACUUUCUAACUCAAACAAAACCUCAAAUUCAAGUUCAAGAAGUGAGGAAAGUCAUAAAAUUUCUGGAAAUUUUUUACAGAUAUCCUAAAGUUUUCAAAAUGAAUUUUUGAAGUUGAAGGGUCAGUGGUUUGAUGAAAACUGCAGCAAAGAUUAAAUCAUUUAAUACCUAAGAUGGGUAGUUCUUUUCUUUUUAACAAACCGAUUUUAGAUCAAGAAAUCUCAGUAGGAAGGGGUCUCAACAGGUAUACUGAUGUUAUAGCUGCACCUGAGAUGACAAAGUCUUGCGUAUUUUGUAGGAAGAUAAUCAUAAACAGGGUGCACAAUGGGGAAUUCUUGUCAGAAUGGUAGCUACUCCCUUACGUGUUGAAGCUGAUGUAUAAUAUAAUUUCCCCACUAGCUGCCACCAUCCCUACAUAUCUAUCACUAUCAUCCAGCCCUGAUCCCAAGGGACCCACCAUUUGAAGUCUCAUUUAAAAAAAAAACAUAAAUUUUAUGCUGCAAUCUGGAUCUAAUUCCACUACCCUUUUGACCACUGAAGUUGUGCAAUGUACGAAUGUUUUGUCCACCAAUCUGCUGCUCUCUCUUUUAAGUGUACACCACUCUUAUAAAUCUCAUGCACAACUUCCUCUUUGAGUGUAUACACCCUCUCUCUCAAGCACAAAUUAGAACACGAAACCAAUUAUAGAACAAAGUGAUAAUAUCACUGAGUAAGGAGUUCUCAACAAACAUACUGAGGAACGCUCUCUUCUGGCAAGGAGAUCCCACUGGUAUGUCGUCUGAGAUUUCUUCAACCGCCCUCUCCUUCUUCUCCACCAACAGCUUCUCACUAGAAAGUCUUCUCUGAAACUCCAAUUUUUCCGCCUCUCUCUCUUUUUUUUUUUUUUUUUUCUUCUAUGUGCUCAAAGUUCUCCCCCCAAAACCUAUCUGUUAUAGCUUUUUAUAGCAAAUAACAGUCCUUCUACGUGAGGAGUCUUCCUCUCUCCAAAUUUUAUCUUAUGCACCGGAAAAACUCAUUUUUUUUUAAAUUUCAAACAAUACCAAUCCACGCAUAUCACCUACAAUCCAUGCAUAUCAUUUAAAGAGUUUUACCGUUUUCAAAAACUUCUUCAAUGGUAGACUUCUUCCAUAAAAAUUUCAAAUUAUUGAAUUAAAUAAUAAAAUAAAUAAUAAAUAAUAAAAUAAAUAAAUAAAUCGAAGAAUAUAAAAUGAUAAUAAUAGAUAAAUGAAUAAAUAACAAGAUAAUAAACAAAUAAGUAAGAAUACUAAAUAACUAAAUAACUAAAAAUGAUUGAUAAUAAUGAAAAAAUAUUAAAAUAAAUGAAUAAAUAAAACCAUAAUAAAUGAUCAAAUAAAAGUGGUUAGUAAUAAUAAAAAAAUAAAAAUAAAUAAAUAAGUAAAUGAGAUAAAUGAGUCAUACAACCAUACAAGUCAUACUAAAAAAAAGACUAAUGGGCCAAGUGGGCCUGAGUGAACUUAGACAGGUCUGGGGUGUCUAAAUAGACCAAGUGUAUCUAAAUAGGCUUAGGGUGCCUAAAUGGGUCAAGGGUGCCUAAGUAAAGUCUAGUCUAAAUCAAGACUACCGAGGAUCACAAUAAAGGGGCGGAUAAUCCCUUAACCAAAGUCUCCGAGGUGACUCAGAAAAAGGUAAGUCGUACGAGUAGUAAUGGGCAACCAAGGAACUACCGUGGAGCACUGGAAGUGAAUUUAAAGACAUGUGCUAAAAGGACAAAAUUGAGGGUCUACAACUAUAUAAUAGUAUUUUAAUAUGGUGUCAGAGUCUCAUUUGGUGUGAGAUCAUGUAUUCAAAUCUAAUUGUAUAUUUAUUUUCCAAUUUGUAGUUGUUUGCCUAUUGGGGGUCACACGCGAGGAAGGGUAUUAAAAACAUAAUAUAGCUUACGAACUCAAAUCUUAUAAGUAGAAAAAUUAUAAUUUGUUUAAACCUUUAGAAAACUUGUAGUUUAACAUGAUUAAACUUUCAUAUUUUUUGUUUUGAUGAGACAAAAAUGUCAAUUUUAGAUUGGAUAAAAAAUUUCAAAAUUAUUGUUGAAAUUUCUUAAGGACUUUUAACUUAUGUUUGGUUUCUUGAAAAUAAUAUGAAACAAAAUUAUAAGAAAAUGAUUCCCUCUUGUUUAACUUAUUAUAGAAAAUAUUAUAAAAAUUUAAAUAUAAUUAAAAUGAGUAAGAAAUUAAUGUAUUUUUAAAUUAUUUAAUCUUUAUAUAGAAGAGAAAAAACUAUUUUUUUUUUUUUUUCACUUUUUCCUUCUAUUUUCACUUAGUGUUUUCUAUCCCUUACAUUUUUCGUCAAAUCUUCCAAGAACCAAAUAUAGGGUUAUAUCUUCAUCAAGACUUAAACCAUACAUAGCGAUAUAAAAGCAAGCAAUUAAUAUUCUACUAUAUACUAAAAUGAUUCCAAAAAUUUCAGAUAGAUUUUGGUAUGGCUAAAAGAUUUGGAGGGAACCAAAUAGAAGGAAACACAAAUCUGGUGAGGUUGGAACAUGGUUAGUGUCAUGCACCAAAUGUCAAAACACAACAUUGAACAAAUCUUUCCAGUUUGUUUUAUUUGUCACUGCAGCAGCUAUAUAUAACUUUUGUGUCAUCUGAGUAAGUAAUGGAAGGGUUAUUUUCAAUAAAAUAUGAAGUUUAUAGCUUUGGAGUUUUGCUAUUAGAAAUUAUUUUGGGAGAAAAAACAAUUAAUGCUCACUACCAUGAUAAUCCCUCCUUGAACUUGGCUGGACAUGUGAGUUACUUGAAUUUCUUAUAGCUUACUUCUUCUUCACUGUAAGCUGAUGCUAUAAAAAAAUAAAUUCAGGUUUGUAACUUAUGUAGAGAAGGCAAAGCUUUGGAUAUGAUUGAUCCUUUAUUAGAAAAGUCAGAUCCUGCAGAUGGAUGAAGUGCCGACAUGCUUCCAAAUUGGGCUCUUAUCUGUGCAAGAAUGCCAACUACCUACCAUGUUCUUUGGUAACAACCCUACUCUUCCUUCUCCUAAGCCACCUGCAUUUAUUUUGAAAAUUAGCAUGUAACAAUGGUGAGUUCCCAUCAACAUCAAGUGUAGGAAGCUUGUUUUGAAGCUUGCUGAUUGCUCAAGCUCUGAUAAGUUGUAAAAAUUAAUUAUUUUACCUACCAGAGGUAGUGUACACAAAUAUCAUUAAAGUUCUCUCUCUCUCUCUCUCUCUUCUGGUUUUUCUCCAAAGGCAACAAUGACGUAAAAUAUUGAGAAGAACCACACAGUCUAACAUCAGCUUCCUCCAUGUCAAGAAUGAGAUACAAAGGUUGUAGUGUAAAAAGUUUAAAAUAUUGUUCCCUGGAAUGAUCUCAACUUCUUGAUGAUUUGUUUCUGCAGCAUCUGCUAAUGGUUCUUGACCUGUUUCUUUCAGCCCAUAGCUGCUCCAUCCUUGGCCCAAUCUUUUUCUAUUUAUUAUUGCGAAUUAAACGAACCCAUUCCUAUCUGAUCAUGAACUGAUCUCUUGGCACAAGGCCUAGAUAAGACAGCCUGUUCUUGUACUUCUUUUAAUGUUGCUACUACUUAACUAACAGUUCCAAGGUAGCUGAUGCUGAGGGAUAUUUCACAAUAUUCACCAUAUUUUAGGUACCAUUUUAAAUUAGUAUAAUAUAUAAAAUAAAAAAGAAAAUAAAGAUAUUUUAUCCUAGGUUUAUUUAUAUAUAUAUAUUAACUUUUUUUUAUUACUUAUUUUGAAAAAUAAAAUUUUUUAUUUAUAAAUUUUAAAUAUUUUUAAUCAUGAGUAUUAUUAAUAAAUAAAUAAAUAAUUAUUUACUAAAUAUCAAAUUAUUGAAAAUUUUCUAAAUAUCAUUAAAUGUAAGAGAAAAUUUAUAUUUUUUAAUAGCACAUAUAGAAAUAUAAUAUAAUUUUAUUUUAAACAAAUAUUGGAAAUUUGAGAAAUAAUAUUCAUAAGCUUGCAAACUUGAAAAGCCAUAUUGACAUUUAACAAUGAAGGAUUUAAAUGUGGUCUUGAUUUUUUGACGUCCUAAAAACAGGUGAAAACAUAAAAUAACAUUGACUUGACCAACUCCAUGGGAUAUAAGUUUCAAUGUGGUCAAUAGAAUCCAUAAGCAUUAAUCAAUAAUUAAGUGGGUCCUUCUUUCCCUUGACUUGGCAUCGAGUAGGCUAGCGCCAGCCUCAUCUUCGCAUGGGAGACGGCAAAUGCACCAAAUAUAGCAGGAACAAUUGAGCAAUUGGCCAUUGCCAAACACCUCUUUAAGUAAUGCCUUCAUCCUCCCUUCAAAUAUCUUAAAUCGAUUCAAUUUUAGGUAGAUAUCAUUGUCACUUUUGACCCUUACUUUUUAUCAUUAAGCUCCGUCAUGUAGUCGCCACUCGCCAGUUCAAUUCAUGCAUCAAAAUUGAAGUUUAACAGUUGGGUUGGUGCAAUUUUGAAGUGAUCAAUGCUAUGAUAGGUUUAAUGCAACUGCAACUUUGUCCAAUUCAUAAAUGUGGCGUGGAGAUAGUACAAAUGCAAUUCUCACGUCAUUUGCUCCACUUGUUCCUUCACGGUAUGCCUCGUUAGUUUGUGUUGUAGACUUUCUCUGUCUCUUCCACCAGCGCUCAGCAUCGGUAACACGGAAGUCACCACUUUAUCAGGAAGUCACAUAUGCAUCCUGUAAAGAUGUUUCUU